rnacentral:rRNA from 1 species
GACGAACGCUGGCGGCGUGCCUAACACAUGCAAGUCGAGCGAGAAAGCCCGCAAGGGUGAGUAAGGCGGCGCACGGGUGCGUAACACGUGGGUAAUCUGCCCUGAAGCCCGGGAUAACUCGCCGAAAGGCGUGCUAAUACCGGAUAAGACCACGGGAACUUCGGUUUCUGCGGGAAAAGGUGGCCUCUGUACACAAGCUAUCUCUUCAGGACGAGCCCGCGGCCCAUCAGCUAGUUGGCGGGGUAACGGCCCACCAAGGCUACGACGGGUAGCUGGUCUAAGAGGACGAUCAGCCACACUGGAACUGAGACACGGUCCAGACUCCUACGGGAGGCAGCAGUGGGGAAUCUUGCGCAAUGGGCGAAAGCCUGACGCAGCAACGCCGCGUGUGUGAUGAAGGUCUUCGGAUCGUAAAGCACUGUCGGGAGGGACGAAUAGAGCCGGCGCUAACAUCGCCGGCUGAUGACGGUACCUCCAAAGGAAGCACCGGCUAACUCUGUGCCAGCAGCCGCGGUAAGAC